rnacentral:tRNA from 1 species
AUCUGUUUGGAGUUGUGGUUAGUGCGCUCGACUGUGAAUCCGGGAGACGGUUCGAUUCCCCCUACCAGAUG